AGGGCAUUGAGUGCGCCCUCAGUGAGUUUGCAGAUGACACCAAGCUGGCUGGAGGUGUCCAUCUGCCUGAGGGUAGUGCGGCCAUACAGAGGGAUUUGGACAGGCUGUAUAUAGCUGGGCUGAAGCCAAUGGGAUGAGGUUCAACAAGACCAAAUACCGGGUCCUGCACUUUGACCACAAUAACCCCAGGCAAUGCUGGGGUUGGGGUAGAGUGGCUGGAAGACUGUGUAGAGGAAAUGGACCACUGGGGGUACAUAUUUCCUUCAGUGAAAUAUCAGCUCAGUCCGUGCCGUGAAUACCACGGAAUCAACAGUGGAUCCCUUCUGAGUCACCCUUGGGUGGCUGCCCCCGAGACUGAGUCAGAGCAGCCUUAAACAGGUGCCCCUCUGACCUGUUCUCCUCUCUCCUCUUUGAUUCUCUCCCCGUACAAAAUGGCAAGAAGCAAUGGGCUCCAGAUGAUAAACACUCCAUAGAAUCAACCACACUGGGUUGGCAUUUUUCUGUGCUUACUGCAUAUGCAGAGGGUAAAUAUUGUAUUCUUGGGGGCUGGGUGGGCUGCUUAAAGCUGAGUGAGUUUUGCCGAGCACUCCCUGACUCUCUGGCUGACGGAUCAACUGAUGAAUGGGAGCGAGGAAUCCCUGCUGGUGCGGUGCUGCUGUCUGUGCAGCGUUUCUGUAGCACCACUUUUGGUGGUCGAUCCUAAUCCAGGAUUGGGUUUUUUCUGCCACUUCUUCAUGGAUUUCCUACCGUCCUUUGCUUGGGCAGGCAGACGUUUGCCUUGAAUAGCUGAGAGUUUUGAUGGUCCAGGUGAGGAGCAGGGUUCAUCACCUUGGGUCAGCUUGAUCAGCUCCUUCAGUAGACUCUUCUGAUCAUCCUCAUCUUCAUCAGGGGUUGCUGAAAGCACGACGGGUUCAUCCCAGUUAAUCAGUAUCACAGAAUCACAGAAUGGCCAGGAUUGAAAAGGACCACAGUGCUCAUCAGUUCAAACCCCCUGCUAUGUGCAGGGUCGCCAACCAGCAGACCGGGCUGCCCAGCGCCACAUCCAGCCUGGUCUGAAUGCCUCCAGGGAUGGGGCAUCCACAGCCUCCUUGGGCAACCUGUUCAGUGCAUCACCACCCUCUGGAUGAAAAAGCUCCUAAUAUCCAAUCGAAACCUCACCUAACACUGUCCACCAUCAUAAACACCUGUUCCCUUUCCUGUUUAUACGCCCCCUUCAAGUACUGAAAGGCCACAAUGUACUCUCUCGGGAGCCUUCCCUUCUCAUACUAAACAAGCCCAGUUCCUACUACUUUUCCUCAUAGGAGAGGUGCUCCAGCCCUGUGAUCAUUAGUGGCCCUCCUCUGGGCUCUGUAGAGACAGUUCCUCCAGCACACUGCCCUGCUGCUUCUCCAUUUUAGCCAGUCUUUCUAGAUAUUUUUAUAUCCAGGCCAUUGUCGUUGCUCUGCCCUGUUAGAGAGCUCUCUCAGAUUGUGUGCCAUCAAAGCAGAACAACUUAAUUCUGUUCUACAUGUACCUUACAUACCCUCGACUUACAAACAAAAGCAAGCAAACGUUCCUCUAACAGUUGGUUGGCCCUACCUUCUCCCACCUGCACUGAUAAAGGGUGAAAGGUUUCUCAGUCGUGACAGGACUGACAGUGCACCCCAAAGCACCUCCUGUUUGUCCUUUGGCGCCGUCUGUCCUUUGUCUUACACUGCAGACUCCCACGGCUUCACAGUGAUGAGGGCUAUCAAGGAGUCUGUUAAGCUCUUUGGCGACUCCUCCACAGUUACAUCUUCCAUCUCCCCCUUCUUUCUUAAUAAAAAAGCCACGAUUCGUUGCAUCCUGUAUCCUUUUUUGUGUACACUGCAACAAGCAUGGAACAGUAAUUAAAGCACAGAGAAAGGCAAUGAGAGAAACUGACCCUAUUAGAUGCAAAUUCUGUAUGCAUUCAGCAAAACCCCCAAAGAGAUCCCCAAAUACAUUCACAGGUUUCUUUUUUUAGCUUUCCAUCCUCCCUUAGAUCUUUCCCCUAUUACCACAGAAUAAACUUACAGCAGCAAUUAUAUUAAUAACAAUAUCACUCAGUCAAGGCCUCGAUUGGUAACACAAAGAAAAC
ensembl:lncRNA